AGCGAACGCUGGCGGCAGGCUUAACACAUGCAAGUCGAGCGGGCACUUUCGGGUGUCAGCGGCGGACGGGUGAGUAACGCGUGGGAACGUGCCCUCUGGUUCGGAAUAACUCAGGGAAACUUGAGCUAAUACCGGAUACGCCCUUUUGGGGAAAGGCUUGCUGCCGGAGGAUCGGCCCGCGUCUGAUUAGCUAGUUGGUGAGGUAAGGGUACACCAAGGCGACGAUCAGUAGCUGGUCUGAGAGGAUGAUCAGCCACACUGGGACUGAGACACGGCCCAGACUCCUACGGGAGGCAGCAGUGGGGAAUAUUGGACAAUGGGCGCAAGCCUGAUCCAGCCAUGCCGCGUGAGUGAUGAAGGCCUUAGGGUUGUAAAGCUCUUUUAUCCGGGACGAUAAUGACGGUACCGGAAGAAUAAGCCCCGGCUAACUUCGUG
rnacentral:rRNA from 1 species